rnacentral:rRNA from 1 species
ACCCGCUGAACUUAAGCAUAUCAAUAAGCGGAGGAAAAGAAACCAACAGGGAUUGCCUCAGUAACGGCGAGUGAAGCGGCAACAGCUCAAAUUUGAAAUCUGGAGCCUUCGGCUUCCGAGUUGUAAUUUGAAGAGGAUGCUUCGGUUGUAGCCUUGGCCCAAGUUCCUUGGAACAGGACGUCGUAGAGGGUGAGAAUCCCGUACACGGCUGCUGGCUUACUUCCAUGUGAAGCUCCUUCGAAGAGUCGAGUUGUUUGGGAAUGCAGCUCAAAAUGGGUGGUAAAUUUCAUCUAAAGCUAAAUAUUGGCGAGAGACCGAUAGCGCACAAGUAGAGUGAUCGAAAGAUGAAAAGCACUUUGAAAAGAGAGUUAAACAGUACGUGAAAUUGUUGAAAGGGAAGCGCUUGCAAUCAGACUCGCUUUCGGUUGAUCAGGGUUCCUUUUGGUUCCUGCACUCUGCCGUUUGCGGGCCAGCAUCAGUUUGGGCGGCCGGAUAAAGGCUCUGGGAAUGUGGCUCCCUUCGGGGAGUGUUAUAGCCCUCUGCGUAAUACGGCCAGUCCGGAUUGAGGUCCGCGCUUUUGCUAGGAUGCUGGCUUAAUGGUUGUAAGCGACCCGUCUUGAAACACGG